AUUGAACGCUGGCGGCAGGCUUAACACGUGCAAGUCGAGCGGAGUGAUGGUGCUUGCACUAUCACUUAGCGGCGGACGGGUGAGUAAUGCUUAGGAAUCUGCCUAUUAGUGGGGGACAACAUCUCGAAAGGGAUGCUAAUACCGCAUACGUCCUACGGGAGAAAGCAGGGGAUCACUUGUGACCUUGCGCUAAUAGAUGAGCCUACGUCGGAUUAGCUAGUUGGUGGGGUAAAGGCCUACCAAGGCGACGAUCUGUAGCGGGUCUGAGAGGAUGAUCCGCCACACUGGGACUGAGACACGGCCCAGACUCCUACGGGAGGCAGUAGUGGGGAAUAUUGGACAAUGGGGGGAACCCUGAUCCAGCCAUGCCGCGUGUGUGAAGAAGGCCUUAUGGUUGCAAAGCACUUUAAGCGAGGAGGAGGCUCUUUUGGUUAAUACCCAAGAUGAGUGGACGUUACUCGCAGAAUAAGCACCGGCUAACUCUGUGCCAGCCGCCGCCGUAA
rnacentral:rRNA from 1 species